rnacentral:tRNA from 1 species
GGUGUUGUAACUCAGUGGUAGAGCACUUGCUUCUCACGCAGGGGGCCCUGGGUUUGAUCCUUAGCACCA